GACGAACGCUGGCGGCGUGCCUAAUACAUGCAAGUAGAACGCUGAAGAGAGGAGCUUGCUCUUCUUGGAAGAGUUGCGAACGGGUGAGUAACGCGUAGGUAACCUGCCUUGUAGCGGGGGAUAACUAUUGGAAACGAUAGCUAAUACCGCAUAACAAUGGGUGACCCAUGUCAUUCAUUUAAAAGGGGCAACUGCUCCACUACAAGAUGGACCUGCGUUGUAUUAGCUAGUAGGUGAGGUAACGGCUCACCUAGGCGACGAUACAUAGCCGACCUGAGAGGGUGAUCGGCCACACUGGGACUGAGACACGGCCCAGACUCCUACGGGAGGCAGCAGUAGGGAAUCUUCGGCAAUGGGGGCAACCCUGACCGAGCAACGCCGCGUGAGUGAAGAAGGUUUUCGGAUCGUAAAGCUCUGUUGUAAGUCAAGAACGAGUGUGAGAGUGGAAAGUUCACACUGUGACGGUAGCUUACCAGAAAGGGACGGCUAACUACGUGCCAGCAGCCGCGGUAAUACGUAGGUCCCGAGCGUUGUCCGGAUUUAUUGGGCGUAAAGCGAGCGCAGGCGGUUUGAUAAGUCUGAAGUUAAAGGCUGUGGCUCAACCAUAGUUUGCUUUGGAAACUGUCAAACUUGAGUGCAGAAGGGGAGAGUGGAAUUCCAUGUGUAGCGGUGAAAUGCGUAGAUAUGUGGAGGAACACCGGUGGCGAAAGCGGCUCUCUGGUCUGUAACUGACGCUGAGGCUCGAAAGCGUGGGGAGCGAACAGG
rnacentral:rRNA from 1 species